AUCCUUUUAUAGUUCCUAAGUCUGAUGACUCAGUGUCAUGCUCAUCUGUGAGACAUGCCUCCCUUAAGGUUUGUUAUGAUGUCAGCACAUUACUUGCGUAUA
ensembl:snoRNA